CCUACGGGAGGCAGCAGUGAGGAAUAUUGGUCAAUGGUCGUAAGACUGAACCAGCCAAGUCGCGUGAGGGAUGACGGCCCUAUGGGUUGUAAACCUCUUUUAUGAGGGAAUAAAGUGCGUCACGUGUGAUGUUUUGUAGGUACCCCAUGAAUAAGGAUCGGCUAAUUCCGUGCCAGCAGCCGCGGUAAUACGGAGGGUCCGGGCGUUAUCCGGAUUUAUUGGGUUUAAAGGGUGCGUAGGCGGCAUGUUAAGCCGGCCGUGAAAUGCCGUGGCUCAACCAUAGCAUUGCGGUGGGAACUGGCUGGCUUGAGUGCGCGUGACGUAUGCGGAAUGCGUGGUGUAGCGGUGAAAUGCAUAGAUAUCACGCAGAACUCCGAUUGCGAAGGCAGCAUACCGGCGCGCUACUGACGCUGAUGCACGAAAGCGUGGGUAUCGAACAGGAUUAGAUACCCCUGUAGUC
rnacentral:rRNA from 1 species